GCGCCCGUGGUGGAAUUGGUAGACACGCUAGCUUGAGGUGCUAGUGGCUAAUCAAACGGCUGUGCUAGUUCGAGUCUAGUCGGGCGCACCA
rnacentral:tRNA from 1 species